AAUAACACUGCCUGGCUGCAGAGUUGCUGGUGUUAUCUGGAGGUUAUCAUCUGUGUAAGGAAGAGCAUAUCAUCCCUAUACCUGACUGGAGUUUUGCAAAAAUUAAUAAACAUUUGUAAAGUACCCAUGUAAUUGAAGUGAGUGCUACGGAGCAUACUGUAAUGAAAUCAAUAAUUCCAUCCUCAUAGCAGGGUUUGAAUAAGGCUAAGGAACAUACAC